AGAGCGAACGCUGGCGGCAGGCCUAAUACAUGCAAGUCGAACGCACCUUCGGGUGAGUGGCGGACGGGUGAGUAACACGUGGGAACGUGCCUUUGGUUCGGAAUAAUCCGGGGAAACCUGGCCUAAUACCGGAUGUGCCCUUCGGGGGAAAGAUUUAUCGCCAUUAGAGCGGCCCGCGUCUGAUUAGCUUGUUGGUGGGGUAAUGGCCCACCAAGGCUACGAUCAGUAGCUGGUCUGAGAGGAUGAUCAGCCACACUGGGACUGAGACACGGCCCAGACUCCUACGGGAGGCAGCAGUAGGGAAUCUUGCGCAAUGGGCGAAAGCCUGACGCAGCCAUGCCGCGUGAAUGAUGAAGGUCUUAGGAUUGUAAAAUUCUUUCAGCGGGGAAGAUAAUGACUGUACCCGCAGAAGAAGCUCCGGCUAACUUCGUGCCAGCAGCCGC
rnacentral:rRNA from 1 species